UACGUAGGGUGCAAGCGUUGUCCGGAAUUAUUGGGCGUAAAGAGCUCGUAGGCGGUUUGUCGCGUCGGCUGUGAAAACCUGGGGCUCAACUCCGGGCCUGCAGCCGAUACGGGCAGACUAGAAUUCGGUAGGGGAGACUGGGAUUCCUGGUGUAGCGGUGAAAUGCGCAGAUAUCAGGAGGAACACCGGUGGCGAAGGCGGGUCUCUGGGCCGAUAUUGACGCUGAGGAGCGAAAGCGUGGGGAGCGAACAGG
rnacentral:rRNA from 1 species